GACAGAGGUCUCGAGCGUUAGGCGGAAUCACUGGGCGUAAAGGGUGCGUAGGCGGGUCUUUAAGUCAGGGGUGAAAUCCUGGAGCUCAACUCCAGAACUGCCUUUGAUACUGAAGAUCUUGAGUUCGGGAGAGGUGAGUGGAACUGCGAGUGUAGAGGUGAAAUUCGUAGAUAUUCGCAAGAACACCAGUGGCGAAGGCGGCUCACUGGCCCGAUACUGACGCUGAGGCACGAAAGCGUGGGGAGCAAACAGG
rnacentral:rRNA from 1 species